GUCUCUUCGGGGAUGAUUAAACCGGCGCACGGGUGAGUAACACGUGAGUGACCUGCCUUUUAGACUGGAACAACUUACCGAAAGGUGAGCUAAUGCCGGAUGAGUUAUAUAAGUGCAUGUUUAUAUAGGAAAAGUUGGGGAGACCUGACGCUGAAAGAUGGACUCGCGUCCCAUUAGCUAGUUGGUAGGGUAAUGGCCUACCAAGGCGACGAUGGGUAGCCGGCCUGAGAGGGUGGCCGGCCACACUGGGACUGAGACACGGCCCAGACUCCUACGGGAGGCAGCAGUGGGGAAUUUUGCGCAAUGCUCGUAAGAGUGACGCAGCGACGCCGCGUGAAUGACGAAGGCCUUCGGGUCGUAAAGUUCUUUCGACAGGGAAGAAAAUGCCUAUAAGUAACUGUGUAUGUAUUGACGGUACCUGUAUAAGCAGCCCCGGCUAACUCCGUGCCAGCAGCCGCGGUAAUACGGAGGGGGCGAGCGUUGUUCGGAGUGACUGGGCGUAAAGAGCACGUAGGCGGUGUUGUAAGUCAUUAGUCAAAGACUAGAGCUCAACUUUAGUAAGGCUAGUGAUACUAUAAUACUAGAGUAUCAGAGAGGAUUGCAGAAUUCCUGGUGUAGCGGUGAAAUGCGUAGAUAUCAGGAGGAAUACCGUUAGCGAAGGCGGCAAUCUGGCUGGAAACUGACGCUGAGGUGCGAAAGCGUGGGUAGCAAACA
rnacentral:rRNA from 1 species